rnacentral:rRNA from 1 species
GCUUAACACAUGCAAGUCGAGCGGUAAGGCCCUUCGGGGUACACGAGCGGCGAACGGGUGAGUAACACGUGGGUGAUCUGCCCUGUACUUCGGGAUAAGCCUGGGAAACUGGGUCUAAUACCGGAUAUGACCUUACAUCGCAUGGUGUUUGGUGGAAAGAUUUAUCGGUACAGGAUGGGCCCGCGGCCUAUCAGCUUGUUGGUGGGGUAAUGGCCUACCAAGGCGACGACGGGUAGCCGGCCUGAGAGGGCGACCGGCCACACUGGGACUGAGACACGGCCCAGACUCCUACGGGAGGCAGCAGUGGGGAAUAUUGCACAAUGGGCGAAAGCCUGAUGCAGCGACGCCGCGUGAGGGAUGACGGCCUUCGGGUUGUAAACCUCUUUCGACAGGGACGAAGCGCAAGUGACGGUACCUGUAGAAGAAGCACCGGCCAACUACGUGCCAGCAGCCGCGGUAAUACGUAGGGUGCGAGCGUUGUCCGGAAUUACUGGGCGUAAAGAGCUUGUAGGCGGUUUGUCGCGUCGUCCGUGAAAACUUGGGGCUCAACYCCRAGCUUGCGGGCGAUACGGGCAGACUUGAGUACUGCAGGGGAGACUGGAAUUC